rnacentral:rRNA from 1 species
AAAAUUGGUGCCAGAAGACUCGGUAAUACCAAAUACACAAACGUUAGUCAUCAUAAAUAGGCGUAAAGGGUUUGUAGGCUGCUCAAAAAAAAUUAUAAAAUAAGAGCUAGAAUCAAAUAGGGGUCAAUAUCAUACCUAGUGAAAGAAUUAAAUCUGUAAAUAUUAGGGGGAAUACUAGAAGCGAAGGCGAUUUUCCAUUUAAUGAUUGACGCUGAGACACGAAGGUUGGGGCAGGAAAUAGGAUUAGAUACCCUAGCACUCCCAACUGUAAACGAUGAAUGGUAGGUGUUAAUUAUAUUAAAANUAGCACCGAUGUGAACACGUUAACC